rnacentral:lncRNA from 1 species
AUUGAUAUGCAGCACACCGCCCACCAGAAUGGCAGGGGGCGGGCAAGGAGGUGUUACCAACCCAAAAGCAAGGGUGACACAGUCCAGGGAGAGGGCCGGGCGGAUGGGUCUGCAGGAGGAGCUAGGCUGAGCAGGGAGCAGCUCUUAGGGGGAUCCACUCCAGAGACCAGGCUAAGCACAGUCUGUCAGGUUAGGUAGACUACAGAAGGUGCCCUGGACUGGGCCCAACAGUGCACCCACUGAAGACUGGAACCAGAGCCGAGUUCCUGAAGAAAAAGGAGAAGACGGGGAGAACCACCAAGGUGUGGAGCCGUACUGUAUUCCAGAGUGCAGAGUAGAGCUGAAGGGGCCGUUGGGGCAGAGAACCAAGAGUGCGCAAGGAACAGGCCAAAGCAGAUUUACCGAUGGUGCACCUGGACCAGGACUGCAAUGAAUCUGCGGUCUGUCGUCAGAGGGCGCACUUUCCCGAGUCUUGCAUCCUGCAGACCUUAAAAUCCUCAACUCACGGGAGUGUGCGAAUUCAGAUCUGCCUUUGGCAUCUGGUGUGGUCUCCAGGUCGCAAUCCUAUGGAUCUUCAAUGCGUGCAGUUGGGUACUUGAUGCCCUCCCAGUGCACCUCCAAGCCACCAGUGUUUCUCGGGUUAAGGGAGUAACGACAUUUGUUAAGUCAUUGUUAAUCAGUUUUUUAAUUUUGCUGACGGGUAUGCCUUAUUGGAUGUAAUACCUUGUCUGGUUUCAUUUGACAAACCUAAAUAAAACAGUCUACAAAGUACCUCUCGUCUGAGAAGAAUUCAUUGUGAAACCUUAAGAUAUUCACUACGUAAUUGUGCUCAAUGAACUAUUGACAUAUCUGUAGCCUGCAUUUGUUUAAUGUAAAAAUCUAAGAAUGCAACCUAAGGAUUUGUAAUUGUGCAUAAUGAUUUUAGAAGCAGAAAUUCAGUUUGAUGGUUUCUGUACACAUUGUGUAAACCUGCUGUGAUACAAGUAUUAUUAGAAUCAAUCUGAACAUAUGCAAAUAUUUAGAGAUUAUACUAGCAGUUAAUGUAGUAGAGUUAGCAGGUCAUUUUUUCUUGUGUCUGAAUGUUCUUACAAUCCUUUCCUUCUGUGCACAUUAUUAUACUGCAUUAAUAUGUGCAUUCCUGAUAUAAACAAUUGACAAACGUAUCAGAAAAUGUCAGAAAAUUCUACAUGGGUGCAGAGAGACCUGGUGGUGAAUUGAAAUGAAAAACAGACCAAAAUGAAAAUAUUUUUUCUAUUGAAGUAAGCUUUCCAUUGACAUGAUAUACAAAUACUUCAUAAUUUUACACAUUAAUUCUAAGUUUCGUAGUUUGAAAAUAUUAAAAGGCAGAUGCUGUGUCUGUAACU